AGGCGCGGGGAGAAGUAGAAAGGGGCGUGUCUCUUUACCUAGGGGCGGGGAGAUUUUUCUCCUCAGGUGUAGAGGGGCGUGUCCUCACUCAGCUGUGUGCGUGGCCGCGCCCGCCCUGAGGCUCAGCCGGCCCGGGCUGCUCCCAGUCCCCUCGCCAUGGUGGCUCCUGGCGGGCUGGGCCGCUGCGUGGCCGCCUUCUGGCUGGCGCUGGCUUUCGACGCGCUGGGCCUGGUCGUGCUGCUGACGGGGGUCUUCGCCAACCUUUUCUUCUCGGACCUGCUCAUUUACGCGGGCGGCAUCGGCAUCUUCCUCAGCCUCAUCUGGUGGGUGUUCUGGUACGCGGGCAACCUGGAGGUGCCGCCCGCCGAGCUGCGCGACGACGUGGGGCUGGGCCCGCCCAAGGGCCGCGGGGACAGCCUGCUGCGGGGGCUGGUGAGGGGGCUGAGCACCCGCAUCUCCACCGUCUUCUCCCCCGCUCCUCGCUCCAGUCCCCCGGCUCCCGCCGCCACCACCAUGGAGCUCCAGCCCGCUGACAGCCCUGCCCGCACCCAGCCCGUCUGAGCCCCGCGCCGCCAGCAUCCAAUGAAGACAUGACUACUGAUAUUACUGCCACUUAAGAAAAAACUGUUGUAGUGGCAUGUUGGAAAACUGGAAAGAAGAUUUCCCUGUUUGAAGAGGAUUCUUUAUUUAUGGAAUAAUCUCUACUACCUUACUGGAAUCUGUACCAAAUAGACUUAUAGAGCCAUCUCUCUGCCAAAUGUACAUAUUUCAGUGUUGGACUAGAGAAUUUUAAUUGUAUUUAUUGACAGCAUUUCAAGCCAUAUGAAAGAUUCCUCUGUUUUUUAAAUUGUCAUAUUAGAUUUCGUAUGUGAAAACUAAUUGGUUUACACUUAACAAAAUCUUACAGUGUUUCAUAAGUAAUUUCAGCAUCUCGUGUAUAAAUACUUGUUUAAAUGCCUGAAAAAGUAGAAUGAAAAGCUCUCAUUUUAACCAAGGUAUAGAAGUUAAAUUACUGUGAACGUGUUUUUACUGUGGCAGUGCAAUGCCUUAUUUGUAAGGGUGAUUUUGGUAUCCCUUUGUGAAGCAGUUUUGGAAACCGCUGAUGUAAGAUUAUAAACUUAAUAAAGUUUGUUUUUUUUACUGUAAA